GGAGAACAGGUGCGAAAGUUUUUCCAUGCAUUUUUUGUCGCUUAAAUAAUUUGAUGAGAGAUUUCAGAGAAGAGAAUCCCGAGCGGGCACGGUUUUCACUACAAACUCGCGAGGAUUAUAGUCCGAAAAGCUUUGCCGCGCAAACUAUCAGACUCGAGCGGCCAUGUUAAUUAGUUGGCAAUUUGGUCACUGGGGUUGCUGGAAGGAAAUGGGCUCUGCGGAUCUGCGGAUGCAAUAACGAUACAAGUGUAUAUGGAUCAAGGUGCGCGGAUGUUUAUUUCUUACGAGACGAAUGAACGCCCGAAGGGGAAAGGCCGCACGAAUGCAGCGAGAAGAGACGGGGUUAAACAUUGAUUAUAAUACGAGUCUAAAGCGCAUGGAUCGUCCAUAUUCAUGCACAACAUACGCGGAGAAAAAAUCAUGUAAAAUCCUUCAACGAUGCGCUUUGCCCUUUGGCUGUGGGCGGUUCUCAUAUCCUUUCGAUUGUAUUUUAUACAUGGAAGAGAUCUUUAUUUUCGUUUUUUACACCAGCGCGCCGUGCACCCACGCCAAAAACUCGUUUCGAUUGGGUACUGAAUUCGAUGAGUCACUCGACCCUCGACCGCAGCACUCGGCGAAAGAGAGGAAAGAAAAUGCAAGAAGGUGCAGCUCGGGAGGGCACAGUUCCAUUUUUCGAGGUUUAUUACAACCGGUUAAUCGGAAGUAUUGCGAUUGAAGCGUAAUGUCGACGCAAUUGAAAUGAAUUCGAAGAAAUUCUCAUCUAUAAGGAUUUGAACGAAACUUUGUAAACAUUUAUCUGAAGCUCGAUUUUAACUAAAAAAUUAAAAAAAAAAAUGAAUCAGU
rnacentral:lncRNA from 1 species